rnacentral:lncRNA from 1 species
CGCUCGGGGAAAGGCAAAAGACGGCGGCUCAGGGGCGGCCAAAGAGCCGGGCCCUUCUCCUCGGGAGGCUUGGGGGAGGAGGCUUCGGGCGCUCAUGGCCCUCCUGCGCGGCAGCCGGCGCCCAAGAGCGGAGCGCCAGCAUCCCGGGGCCCCCUCUCCCCCGCCAGUCUCCGCUGCUGCUCCUGCUGCAGCGCCGGCCCGGGACAGGCGGGGAACGAGGCCCUCCGAUUGCUAAGCAACCGAGGGAGCCGCAAUAAAGAGGCGCGGGCCGUCCGGCCGUCCCGGCUAGCAACCAAAGCGUGGCUAGUGAGGGCGUCGCGUUGGGCAGAGCUCCGCGGCCUGCAAUGUAACCAUGUUAUCUGUGCCACGCCUCUCAGCGAGAGAAACGGUCUCCUCCUGGUCGUUACUCUGCGUUGGGAAGAGCUGCACCGGUUGAAUCUGCGCCUGUUUAAACGCAGGAUUAAACGAGGGAGGCUUUGCGGAUAUCUACUACCGUGGACUGGACAGGAUCACUUGGAUUAUACAUGAGGUAAACGAAUAUCAGACUUAGACUGCUUUGUGGACAGGAUGAAGAUGCGUAUUAGGUGCUUUUCUUCUGUAAUUAGCAGUAUGCACAUGCAGGCUCUUGGCUAAAGUAACAAUCUAGACAUGCAUCUGUUUGUUAUACUGCCUAUCUAGUGACAUCUCAUUACUCUGGCUGGUUUACAAGCGUACACAUAAAACAUCAGCCCCCACCCAUCUAUAUAUAAUCCAAAGACAACCUCCCAAAAACAGACCCCCAUGGCAAUGAUGACCAAUCU